rnacentral:rRNA from 1 species
AUUGAACGCUGGCGGCAUGCCUAACACAUGCAAGUCGAGCGGAUGAAGGGAGCUUGCUCCUGGAUUCAGCGGCGGACGGGUGAGUAAUGCCUAGGAAUCUGCCUGGUAGUGGGGGAUAACGUCCGGAAACGGGCGCUAAUACCGCAUACGUCCUGAGGGAGAAAGUGGGGGAUCUUCGGACCUCACGCUAUCAGAUGAGCCUAGGUCGGAUUAGCUAGUUGGUGGGGUAAAGGCCUACCAAGGCGACGAUCCGUAACUGGUCUGAGAGGAUGAUCAGUCACACUGGAACUGAGACACGGUCCAGACUCCUACGGGAGGCAGCAGUGGGGAAUAUUGGACAAUGGGCGAAAGCCUGAUCCAGCCAUGCCGCGUGUGUGAAGAAGGUCUUCGGAUUGUAAAGCACUAUAAGUUGGGAGGAAGGGCAGUAAGUUAAUACCUUGCUGUUUUGACGUUACCAACAGAAUAAGCACCGGCUAACUUCGUG